rnacentral:lncRNA from 10 species
ACGGCAGCAGCUGCCUCUGCAGCCCCGCCAGGGCCCCACCUUCCUGCCAGGUGACAGGGCUGUCAGGCCGGGGUGCAGGCCGGCAGCCAGUGCUGGUGCCCGGCUCCCACGGACCGGCAUGGCUUGCAGGGAAGUCUUUUGGAUCAGGCACAGGACUCCAAAUUCUAUAGGGAUUGGAACAGGCACUGAAACACGGCAUCCUUCCUGGAUGGGAAAGAGCUGAGAGCCCCCGGGAGGCCUCCAGCCUGGCUGGCUUCACUCUGUUUUAUUCUGCUAGCUGAGUCUCACCUCUGUUAUGUGCUUCUGGGAAGAGGAGAGGUGAUAUGUGGCCAAAUCUGGUUACCCAAAGUUCCAAGACACGGCCCCUGUCAUCCAUUUGGACCAGGCUUUGGAGUUGAACAGACCUCAGCAUCAGGCAGAUUCCUUGAAGCCUCCGUUUCUCCAUAUAUAAAAUGGGAAUAAUGAGAAUAUCUGCCUCGUAGCUUGAAAUGAAUGUUAUAAACUCUGAAUGCGAAGCUAUGGGGGUGUGAAAGUUGCAGAUACCAGGAUGAAAUCACUUUUGUCAGAACCAGAAGAAUUAGAGCCGGGAAAUCACGAAGGAGGGGAACUCAUGCUUGCAUGUUUGAGAUAAGGACUGUCUCAAGGACUUUCUAAAAUAGCCCCCAAGAAAUUCCUUCUUCAGGACUGCAGCAAUUCAGUCUUGAGAGAGGGAAUAACUCAUGUUGAUGGCCAGGCUGCUCAGCGGAGGGGCUGCCGAGUCGCGGGUGCUGGCUGAGUCCCUGGUGGAGUCUGAGAAGCUACCACUAAAAGGCAGUCACUCGGGAUCCUUCCAGAAACUAGAAAGACUGUGGACUUUGGAACGAGAGGCUGUGCAUCCUUCCACCCACCCCAACACAUAUGCACGCAUGCACACCCCCCCACCCACAGAAUGUUAGUACUACUGAGUGUGACCAUUGACGUCUCCCCUAAAUGAGGCCUUACAGAGGCAAUUGUGUUGGCCCAGCAUAGAGGUCAGCAGACUACGGCCUCCCAGGCCGAAUCCAGCCCUCCCUCCUAUUUUUCUAAAUAAAGUUUUUAUUAGAUCACAGCCAUGCCCAUUUGUUUAUUUAUUGUCUAAAGCUGCUUUCAUGCUACAAUGGCAGAGUUGAGACGUUGAGACAGGCCCACAAAGCCUAAAGCUUAAAGCCCACAAAGUUUUUUGGCCCGGUGCAAAAGACCACAUAG